AAGCUUUUCUUAACAUACCGGGAAUAGUACCACCGCGGACCCAUUAGACAAUAUACUUCCACCAAUUGCCAGUGCUGGCAAUAAUCUAUUGCAACCAGUCAGUGCUAAC